rnacentral:ncRNA from 2 species
UCCGCCGAGGGGCGCUGCGACCGUGUGCAAGGCACGGCCAGGCUCGGCGGGAACAGGAUUCCAACGGCGCCCGGUCACU